GCGGAUUUGAAUAGAUUCUAUAGGUGCUUACAAACCCCCGUAUCAGCCUUCCAAGCUGAUAGCGUGGGUUCGAUUCCCAUCACCCGCU
rnacentral:tRNA from 1 species